UACGAAGGGGGUGAGCGUUGUUCGGAAUUACUGGGCGUAAAGGGCGCGCAGGCGGCUCUGAAAGUCAGAUGUGAAAGCCCCGGGCUUAACCUGGGAAUUGCAUUUGAUACUCUGGAGCUUGAGUACGGGAGAGGAGAGUGGAAUUCCCAGUGUAGAGGUGAAAUUCGUAGAUAUUGGGAAGAACACCGGUGGCGAAGGCGGCUCUCUGGACCGUAACUGACGCUGAGGCGCGAAAGCGUGGGGAGCAAACAGG
rnacentral:rRNA from 1 species